AGUGCUUGCACUAAAUGAAACUAGAUACAAGCGAGCGGCGGACGGGUGAGUAACACGUGGGUAACCUGCCCAAGAGACUGGGAUAACACCUGGAAACAGAUGCUAAUACCGGAUAACAACACUAGACGCAUGUCUAGAGUUUGAAAGAUGGUUCUGCUAUCACUCUUGGAUGGACCUGCGGUGCAUUAGCUAGUUGGUAAGGUAACGGCUUACCAAGGCAAUGAUGCAUAGCCGAGUUGAGAGACUGAUCGGCCACAUUGGGACUGAGACACGGCCCAAACUCCUACGGGAGGCAGCAGUAGGGAAUCUUCCACAAUGGACGAAAGUCUGAUGGAGCAACGCCGCGUGAGUGAAGAAGGGUUUCGGCUCGUAAAGCUCUGUUGGUAGUGAAGAAAGAUAGAGGUAGUAACUGGCCUUUAUUUGACGGUAAUUACUUAGAAAGUCACGGCUAACUACGUGCCAGCAGCCGCGGUAAUACGUAGGUGGCAAGCGUUGUCCGGAUUUAUUGGGCGUAAAGCGAGUGCAGGCGGUUCAAUAAGUCUGACGUGAAAGCCUUCGGCUCAACCGGAGAAUUGCAUCAGAAACUGUUGAACUUGAGUGCAGAAGAGGAGAGUGGAACUCCAUGUGUAGCGGUGGAAUGCGUAGAUAUAUGGAAGAACACCAGUGGCGAAGGCGGCUCUCUGGUCUGCAACUGACGCUGAGGCUCGAAAGCAUGGGUAGCGAACAGGAUUAGAUACCCUGGUAGUCCAUGCCGUAAACGAUGAGUGCUAAGUGUUGGGAGGUUUCCGCCUCUCAGUGCUGCAGCUAACGCAUUAAGCACUCCGCCUGGGGAGUACGACCGCAAGGUUGAAACUCAAAGGAAUUGACGGGGGCCCGCACCAAGCGGUGGAAGCAUGUGGU
rnacentral:rRNA from 1 species